UGAGGAACAUGACCUUCGGCGGGGGAUAGCCGGCCCAACGGCCGGGUAAUACCGCGUACGACCACAUGGGGACAUCCCUGAGUGGUGAAAGCAGCAAUGCGCCGAUGGAGUGCCUCGCGGCCUAUCAGCUAGUUGGUGAGGUAACGGCUCACCAAGGCAACGACGGGUAGCUGGUCUGAGAGGAUGGCCAGCCACAUUGGGACUGAGACACGGCCCAGACCUGUACGGGGGG
rnacentral:rRNA from 1 species